CAUGUAUCUUAAAAAAUUUUUUUUUAAUCUAUUAAAUAAAAGAAUGAACUCACCCAUUUUGGAAGGAGCCAAAAAAAAAAAAAAAAGUGCUUGCAGUGUCCUAGAUGCCUUCCUUCAAAGCGCUUAUCUCAUCCACCAAUAAUCCUGUGAUGUGGUUUGUGCUAUCUCCAUUUUAUAUUUUACAGAUGAGGAAACCGAGGCACUGAGCACUGGAAAGGGGCAGAGACAGUACUCAAAAGCUGCUUUUCUAACUCCACUUAUUGCAAGCUGCUUCCUCAACCCCAGACUUGGCAGAUAUGGUCCUUGCCUCAUAAAAGCACCUUGCAGAUGCCUAGGCGCUGAUGACACCAGCAAGAUGUCACUGGCUGUUGAGCUCCACUUUAAAAGCAGCAGAGACCAGAGCAUUUCCAGCGCAGUCGGCACAGGGUCACGCUCCCUGAGUCCCACCAGGUGACUUCACACCUCUGUUCCUCCACCCGAGAGCAGGAGACCUAGACUGGUGUGGC
rnacentral:lncRNA from 1 species